rnacentral:rRNA from 1 species
CUUGGCGGCCAUAGCGCGGUGGUCCCACCUGAUCCCAUGCCGAACUCAGAAGUGAAACGCCGUA